rnacentral:rRNA from 1 species
AGUGAACGCUGGCGGUAGGCCUAACACAUGCAAGUCGAGCGGCUGAAGAGUGAUUGCUUGUGGAUUCAGCGGCGGACGGGUGGGUAAUGCAUAAGUAUCUGCCUGGUAGUGGGGGAUUAGGUCCGGAAGCGGGCGCUAAUACCGCAUACGUGCUGAGGGAGUAAGUGGGGGAUCUUGGGACCUUAGGCUCUUGGAUGAGUCGAUGUCGGAUUAGCUAGUUGGUGGGGUAAAGGCCUAACAAGGCGACGAUCCGUAGCUGGUCUGAGAGGAUGAUCAGUCACACUGGAACUGAGACACGGUCCAGACUCCUACGGGAGGCAGCAGUGGGGAAUAUUGGACAAUGGGCGAAAGCCUGAUCCAGCCAUACCGCGUGUGUGAAGAAGGUCUUCGGGUUGUAAAGCACUUUAAUUUGGGAAGAAAAGCAGCAGGUUAAUACCUUGCUGUUUUGACGUUACCAACAGAAUAAGCACCGGCUAACUUCGUG